rnacentral:piRNA from 1 species
UAUGUGAGGUCUUAACCAAGUUUCGGAA